AUUGAACGCUGGCGGCAUGCCUUACACAUGCAAGUCGAACGGCAGCAUGGAGAGCUUGCUCUCUGAUGGCGAGUGGCGAACGGGUGAGUAAAGCAUCGGAACGUACCGUGUAGUGGGGGAUAACGUAGCGAAAGUUACGCUAAUACCGCAUACGCACUGAGGUGGAAAGCAGGGGAUCGUAAGACCUUGCGCUAUACGAGCGGCCGACGUCAGAUUAGCUAGUUGGUAGGGUAAAGGCCUACCAAGGCGACGAUCUGUAGCGGGUCUGAGAGGAUGAUCCGCCACACUGGGACUGAGACACGGCCCAGACUCCUACGGGAGGCAGCAGUGGGGAAUUUUGGACAAUGGGGGCAACCCUGACCCAGCCAUGCCGCGUGAGUGAAGAAGGCCUUCGGGUUGUAAAGCUCUUUCGGCCGGGAAGAAAUCGCACAGGCUAAUACCCUGUGUGGAUGACGGUACCGGCAUAAGAAGCACCGGCUAACUACGUGCCAGCAGCCGCCGUAA
rnacentral:rRNA from 1 species